AUUGAACGCUGGCGGCAGGCUUAACACAUGCAAGUCGAACGAAGUCUUCGGACUUAGUGGCGGACGGGUGAGUAACACGUGGGAACGUGCCUUUAGGUUCGGAAUAACUCAGGGAAACUUGUGCUAAUACCGAAUGUGCCCUUCGGGGGAAAGAUUUAUCGCCUUUAGAGCGGCCCGCGUCUGAUUAGCUAGUUGGUGAGGUAAAGGCUCACCAAGGCUACGAUCAGUAGCUGGUCUGAGAGGAUGACCAGCCACAUUGGGACUGAGACACGGCCCAAACUCCUACGGGAGGCAGCAGUGGGGAAUCUUGCGCAAUGGGCGAAAGCCUGACGCAGCCAUGCCGCGUGGAUGAUGAAGGUCUUAGGAUUGUAAAAUCCUUUCACCGGUGAAGAUAAUGACUGUAGCCGGAGAAGAAGCCCCGGCUAACUUCGUGCCAGCCGCCGCCGUAACAC
rnacentral:rRNA from 1 species